rnacentral:rRNA from 1 species
UACGGAGGGCGCGAGCGUUACCCGGAUUUACUGGGCGUAAAGGGCGUGUAGGCGGCUUGGGGCGUCCCAUGUGAAAGGCCACGGCUCAACUGUGGAGGAGCGUGGGAUACGCUCAGGCUAGACGGUGGGAGAGGGUGGUGGAAUUCCUGGAGUAGCGGUGAAAUGCGCAGAGACCGGGAGGAACGCCGAUGGCGAAGGCAGCCACCUGGUCCACAAGUGACGAUGAGGCGCGAAAGAGUGGGGAGCAAACCGG